rnacentral:rRNA from 1 species
ACGACCUUCGGGAGCUUGUACAGGUGCUGCAUGGCUGUCGUCAGCUCGUGUCGUGAGAUGUUCGGUUAAGUCCGCUAACGAGCGCAACCCUCGCUGUGUGUUACAAGUGUCACACAGAACUGCCGGUCAUUAAACCGGAGGAAGUUGGGGAUGACGUCAAGUCAGCAUGGCCUUUAUAUCCUGGGCUACACACACGCUACAAUGGGAAAGGACAAUAGGUAGCGAAACCGCGAGGUGGAGCCAAUCCAGCAAAAUUUCCCUCAGUUCAGAUUGCAGGCUGCAACUCGCCUGCAUGAAGUUGGAGUUGCUAGUAAACGCAGGUCAGCCAUACUGCGUUGAAUACGUUCCCGGGGCUU